rnacentral:rRNA from 1 species
GCCUGAUCCAGCAAUGCCGCGUGUGUGAAGAAGGCCUUCGGGUUGUAAAGCACUUUUGUCCGGAAAGAAAUCCUUGGCUCUAAUACAGUCGGGGGAUGACGGUACCGGAAGAAUAAGCACCGGCUAACUACGUGCCAGCAGCCGCGGUAAUACGUAGGGUGCGAGCGUUAAUCGGAAUUACUGGGCGUAAAGCGUGCGCAGGCGGUUUGCUAAGACCGAUGUGAAAUCCCCGGGCUCAACCUGGGAACUGCAUUGGUGACUGGCAGGCUAGAGUAUGGCAGAGGGGGGUAGAAUUCCACGUGUAGCAGUGAAAUGCGUAGAGAUGUGGAGGAAUACCGAUGGCGAAGGCAGCCCCCUGGGCCAAUACUGACGCUCAUGCACGAAAGCGUGGGGAGCAAACAGGAUUAGAUACCCUGGUAGUCCACGCCCUAAACGAUGUCAACUAGUUGUUGGGGAUUCAUUUCCUUAGUAACGUAGCUAACGCGUGAAGUUGACCGCCUGGGGAGUACGGUCGCAAGAUUAAAACUCAAAGGAAUUGACGGGGACCCGCACAAGCGGUGGAUGAUGUGGAUUAAUUCGAUGCAACGCGAAAAACCUUACCUACCCUUGACAUGGUCGGAAUCCUGCUGA